rnacentral:lncRNA from 1 species
CACAGUUCCUGAAUCAUUUGUCUUCCUUGAUUUGUGCCCUUGAUUUGCCCUUGAUACACCAGUAUUCUCUCAAGAAAUACUGGCUUCCCUUCCAUGGUUAGCUCACUGGUCCACCAGUUCAGAGCUUCACUUUGAUGGGACUCUUGAUCAUAACCUUCUCAUUUCUUCCAGAGUCAAGAGGGACAGCGGACCAGUCACCAGGACACUUGCAGUGACACAUCAGGAUGGAUUGUGGGGAAGAUAUCAUCCAGCAGUCUUAGAAAAGCCCCAUUCUUUUUCCUUUUGGCCUCUGAUCCUGGCAACUUUAGAAGAGUGGAGUGACAUUCUCUGACCAAGUUAGACCACAGACAGGCAAUAUGUCAAGCUCGUCUGAGGAAAAUUCCAGUUUGUCAUGGAAAAAAAAAAUGUUCAUUUUCUUUGAGAUUCAAUGAAUUAAGUAAAAGCCCACUUCUUUCCUUCUGGUUCACAAAUGUGGCAUCUGAUCUAAAUAGAAC